rnacentral:rRNA from 1 species
AUUGAACGCUGGCGGCAGGCCUAACACAUGCAAGUCGAACGGUAACAGGAAGCAGCUUGCUGCUUCGCUGACGAGUGGCGGACGGGUGAGUAAUGUCUGGGAAACUGCCUGAUGGAGGGGGAUAACUACUGGAAACGGUAGCUAAUACCGCAUAACGUCGCAAGACCAAAGAGGGGGACCUUAGGGCCUCUUGCCAUCGGAUGUGCCCAGAUGGGAUUAGCUAGUAGGUGGGGUAACGGCUCACCUAGGCGACGAUCCCUAGCUGGUCUGAGAGGAUGACCAGCCACACUGGAACUGAGACACGGUCCAGCCUCCUACGGGAGGCAGCAGUGGGGAAUAUUGCACAAUGGGCGCAAGCCUGAUGCAGCCAUGCCGCGUGUAUGAAGAAGGCCUUCGGGUUGUAAAGUACUUUCAGCGGGGAGGAAGGGAGUAAAGUUAAUACCUUUGCUCAUUGACGUUACCCGCAGAAGAAGCACCGGCUAACUCCGUG